CUGUAUAAAUCACUCUAUCAGGUAUCUCAGCUGCUCAGCUUGAUCUUCACACUAGGUCCUCACACAGAUGGCAGAGUCUGUGGCAGGCAAAAAGGUCUUCCUCAUUAAUUACUUCACUCUUCAAGUCCUCUACUACAGACAUCUCUAUGCACAAAACAGUGACCAAAGAAGAGUCUGCUUUCCCUGCCUUGUGAAACAAUGCUAACACUUGGUGCCUGAGCUGCUGUCCUAGGGACCUCUGAGGACUUGCUCAAGAAGAUGGAAAUGCUGUCUGAGGAAGUUUUCUAGCAAACAGAAACCCUAUCAAUAAGGAAGAACUUUUUCCAAAUGAAAAUUAAAGGGGUUUUUCCCCCUUUCCCUUCUCACUUGAUUUCUAAUGGUUACUUUAGAAACACUCGAUCUUCAUAGAGAGACCAAAAGCAAACUGCAUCCCUGAAUAAACAAAUUCAUAUUUGUGUGUGUAUACAUCCCUGUGCACAUAUAUAUUCCUAAACACAUAAAAAACCAAGUGCAUGGCAUUGCUUGGAGUUAUAUGGACGGUUUUGGAUGCCUAUUUUAUUUAUUGUACUUCUAUUGGAGAGGAAAAUUGGAUUUGGGCCCGUAUAUCUCUGAGGGUGCAUUAUUUGACUUUUAAUCUACAUCAGACUGCAACAAAGCACAUCGCAUAUCACAGCUUCUGCUGCCUCUGAUAC